UACGUAGGGGGCAAGCGUUGUCCGGAAUCAUUGGGCGUAAAGCGCGUGUAGGCGGCUCGAUAAGUCUGCUGUGAAAGUCCAGGGCUCAACCCUGGGAUGCCGGUGGAUACUGUCGAGCUCGAGUCCGGAAGAGGCGAGUGGAAUUCCUGGUGUAGCGGUGAAAUGCGCAGAUAUCAGGAGGAACACCAACGGCGAAGGCAGCUCGCUGGGACGUGACUGACGCUGAGACGCGAAAGCGUGGGGAGCAAACAGG
rnacentral:rRNA from 1 species